CCUACGGGUGGCAGCAGUGGGGAAUAGUGCACAAUGGGGGAAACCCUGAUGCAGCGACGCCGCGUGAGUGAAGAAGUAUUUCGGUAUGUAAAGCUCUAUCAGCAGGGAAGAAAAUGACGGUACCUGAGUAAGAAGCCCCGGCUAACUACGUGCCAGCAGCCGCGGUAAUACGUAGGGGGCAAGCGUUAUCCGGAUUUACUGGGUGUAAAGGGAGCGUAGACGGCAGCACAAGUCUGGAGUGAAAUGCCGGGGCUUAACCCCGGAACUGCUUUGGAAACUGUGCAGCUAGAGUGCAGGAGCGGUAAGUGGCUUUCCUCGUGUAGCGGUGCCAUGCGUAGCUCUUCGGAG
rnacentral:rRNA from 1 species